rnacentral:rRNA from 1 species
UACGAAGGGGGCUAGCGUUGUUCGGAAUUACUGGGCGUAAAGCGCACGUAGGCGGAUAUUUAAGUCAGGGGUGAAAUCCCGGGGCUCAACCCCGGAACUGCCUUUGAUACUGGGUAUCUCGAGUCCGAGAGAGGUGAGUGGAAUUCCGAGUGUAGAGGUGAAGUUCGUAGAUAUUCGGAGGAACACCAGUGGCGAAGGCGGCUCACUGGCCCGAUACUGACGCUGAGGCACGAAAGCGUGGGGAGCAAACAGG